rnacentral:rRNA from 1 species
UGCAGUCGAACGGUAACAGGAAGAAGCUUGCUUCUUUGCUGACGAGUGGCGGACGGGUGAGUAAUGUCUGGGAAACUGCCUGAUGGAGGGGGAUAACUACUGGAAACGGUAGCUAAUACCGCAUAACGUCGCAAAACCAAAGAGGGGGACCUUCGGGCCUCUUGCCAUCGGAUGUGCCCAGAUGGGAUUAGCUAGUAGGUGGGGUAACGGCUCACCUAGGCGACGAUCCCUAGCUGGUCUGAGAGGAUGACCAGCCACACUGGAACUGAGACACGGUCCAGACUCCUACGGGAGGCAGCAGUGGGGAAUAUUGCACAAUGGGCGCAAGCCUGAUGCAGCCAUGCCGCGUGUAUGAAGAAGGCCUUCGGGUUGUAAAGUACUUUCAGCGGGGAGGAAGGGAGUAAAGUUAAUACCUUUGCUCAUUGACGUUACCCGCAGAAGAAGCACCGGCUAACUCCGUGCCAGCAGCCGCGGUAAUACGGAGGGUGCAAGCGUUAAUCGGAAUUACUGGGCGUAAAGCGCACGCAGGCGGUUUGUUAAGUCAGAUGUGAAAUCCCCGGGCUCAACCUGGGAACUGCAUCUGAUACUGGCAAGCUUGAGUCUCGUAGAGGGGGGUAGAAUUCCAGGUGUAGCGGUGAAAUGCGUAGAGAUCUGGAGGAAUACCGGUGGCGAAGGCGG